rnacentral:rRNA from 1 species
AGCAGCCGCGGUAAUUCCAGCUCCAAUAGCGUAUAUUAAAGUUGUUGCAGUUAAAAAGCUCGUAGUUGAAUUUUGGACUUGAUCGAACGGUCCGUUCUUGUAACGAGUACUGGUCGUGUUGGGUCUCACCGCCUGGUGAUGCGUAAUGUCCUUUAUUGGGUGUUGCGAGUAGCCAGGACCUUUACCUUGAAAAAAUUAGAGUGUUUAAAGCAGGCAUAUGCCAGAAUACAUUAGCAUGGAAUAAUAGAAUAGGACGAUGAUUCUAUUUUGUUGGUUUCUAGGACCAUCGUAAUGAUUAAUAGGGAUAGUUGGGGGCAUUAGUAUUCAAUUGUCAGAGGUGAAAUUCUUGGAUUUAUUGAAGACUAACUACUGCGAAAGCAUUUGCCAAGGAUGUUUUC